GAAAAGGCAAGUUUAACCACGUUGCUCUAAAGCACUAGCCCCUUUCAGGUUUCGGACACGUGGCCUCUCUGGCUGAAUGGACAGAAAGUCUGAAUGUGCGACUUCUUGGCAGAUACUGCAUCUUCAGCCAGGAGAAGUUGGCUUAGUACAAAAGGGCUUUUGAAGCGGAAACUACAAGAAGAUGCAUCUGUCUUAACAAAAAAUAAUAAACCAAGAAAAUAAAAGAUAUGGGAUCCUAGAAAUAAAAGGUGCAACACAAGAGAGAGAUAAAGAAAAACAUUGACAGCCUCUCUAUGAAGAAAGACCCAAAGUAACAACUUUGCAACAGCUCUAGGGAAUAAUUUGUUCAGAUAAGAGUAACUCAGGAGACUCCAAGAGCGAUUUUCGAGAAGAUUAAAUCUAUAGAAUACCUAAUAUGUUUGCACUUGUAAAGAAGAGUUUUAUACUACUUGGAGAGAAUUUAGCAGUUCAUCUAUCAGUAUCAUUUGCAUAGAUAUAAUGUUCGCUAAAUAUUUCUAUAGCCUAAGGAAGAUGGUGAAUGAGAAGUGUGCUUAUGUGUGGCAAGGAAGAAGGGGAUUUACCAAGUGGGAAGUCCAUGGUCAAAUGCUUAAGACUUAGUAAGGCAUUUACCAAGUGGGAAGUCAAUGGGCAAAUGCUUAAGACGUAGUAAUCAGAAUGCAAAUACAUAAGUACAUGUAGAGGCAAAACAUAGCAUUGUAGUUAUGUGCGCAGAUGCUGGAGUGAGACUCUCUGGGUUCAAAUCCCAGCCCUACCAAUUACUAGUCAUGUGACUUUGGGCAAAUUGUUGACCUAUUUGAAACUCAGUUUUCUCGUAUGAAAACUGUGAUUAUAAUUACUCAUCUCAUAAGAUUUUUAUAUGAACUAACUUUCUAAAAUACUUAGAAUAGUACUUGUCACAAAGCCAGCAGUAUAAAAGUGUUGACCAUUAAAAUAAUGUCAUUAGAAACAUGGAGAUAAAUAUUAAAAGAAUAAGCUAAAACAGAAAUUGGUUGUGACAGGAGGAGAAUGAUGCACUGGGAAUAUUAUUGCUUUUCAUAACUUGGAGAAAUUUGAUUUUUUAAAGUUUGUGUUCACAUAUAAUUAAAAAAAUAGAAAACUAAAUUUUAAGUGACAAGAAUUAUAUUCUUCCAUUUAGUCAGGUGCUGGAUAAAGUAGCUUUUUUUUAGGUGUCUGCAAAUAUUAUGACAAUUAGGACAAGAAAAGUGCAUGCUAUUUUCAACCAGUUUGUAUUAAUGAUGAUCCUUAGAUGUAAGCAACAGAAGUUGAUGAAGCUGAUUUAAAUACAAUGGUUUAGUUGAAAAGAUGUUGGGGAGAUCACAGAAUGAAUUGCAAUGCUGGAGAACCAGUUAUGAAAACAUACAAGCAUGAAGGGAGGCUGCAUAGCCAUAACUAUGUCCUGAAUCACACCAAAUACCAUCAGGUGAGGAUUUCACAUCUAUCGCCAUUGGACUCGCCAUACCGUAAUUUAUACAUUUACUGACCUGGCCGCCCCAACUCUUCCUGGAAAUCAGAUGCUGCUGCCACCACAGCCAUAUCAGAAAGAAGCCUCCUCUCGUGUUGUUUUAUGUCACUAGUCCCACUUCAAGUCAUAGCCAAGUGCAUAAAUUGAUCAGGGAGGCUGGGAAGACAAACUACUUGGUGUAUAUAUAAUGUCUGUGGUAGGAGGCCAACUCUACCGCCGUCCCAGAGCCAUAAGAUAGGUAAUUUUCCAAUUACAGACUAGAUGGAAUAGACUAUAUUCUUAUAUUAAUUGCUUCUUCAUAGAAGUACAUUUAUUUACCAUCAUUGAUUCAAGUUAGCAAUAUGACUAACUUUGGCCAAUUAAAUAUAAGUAACAGUCAUUCUUCACUUCAGGACAGAAAUACUAAGAACCAGGAUAUGGUUCUCCCAAUCUACUAUUCCCUGCCAGGCAAAUCUGAAGGCAUGUUGAAAGGAUGCUUCUGUCAGCCUGAGUCCCUAAAUGACUAUGAUAAGCAAAGCUUCCUUGCCAACUUGUGAUGGACAUGUAUUAUGAGCAA
ensembl:lncRNA novel transcript